ACAAAGUACAGAAACCAUCAGGGUUCACAUAUUACCACGAUCCUCUCCAGACACGGGGCCGCUCCACUUAGAAUCAUGAUUAGCAUCUGGCGUCGUUUUCCACAUCGUUUGUGACCCUCAGCGUGUGGAAAGUAUGUCACAGCGUCAUGAUGAUAAAACAAAGUGAAAGCCCUUUUCCUUGGGUAAAUGAUGUAAAUAUGUCCAGUGAAGUCCAGUGACACAUUACAUACUGAAUCCGAGAGCAGAAGAAUAACACAACACGCCUCGCGUAAUGCACUGGGUGGAGAAACAUGUGAGGGCGUAGACCGGAGCGCCGGCACAAGUGCUCAUUACAGCGGUCGCUGCGCUGUACGUGCUUCACAUUCAUCUGCUGUCUAAUGCACUUGAGCGCGUGCCUAAUUGAAUUCAUUGGCAGUUACAUAUUAUUUGGCACAUGCAGUGAAAUAGUGACAAGUGUGUUUGUGGACUCUCCGGCCAUCAGCGUGUCCUUAAUCAUCUGUGUUCCCCUCUGCGGCCGUACAGCAACGGCUCAGACAGUCUCAGGUAUAGGUUUGGUUUUCAAACUUGAAGAGGUCAUUGCUGGCAUUGGUCACUGCACUGAAGUCAAGACGGUGACACAGAUUUUCCACUUAAGUUUCAAGGUCUCCCUUUUGCUUAUUUACUCUGUCCUUUCAUGGCUUUGAUUACAUUUUCACUGACCUGUCUGAGAAACAGGCAAAGUGCUACGCGGUGGUACUGGUCCCAUGUUCUCAAUGGUUCUAUAUGAGGCUCUAUUUGAGGCAAUUAUGACUCUACAACCACACACACACACACACACACACACACACACACACAAGAGUAGCUUCUUUGAGCCCAAAACUGAUUUUAAUUGCAGUUAGUUGUUGGUCUGCACAAUCAUAAUUAUAAAACAGUUAACCAACUGUUUUGGCAGUUGCCCAGGACCAGCCUUACAAUCGAGCACCAAUCUCCAGGGCUGAGAAAUAAAGCCAAGGCGCAAUGCCAAGACAUGUAGUUCCUCUAAUAGCCACUUGAGGCAACUCCAAAAGCAUUUACAGUCUGGUAUUAAAUAAUACCAAAGAAAAAACAGGAAAUCACAAGUCAAUAGAUGACGUUAUUGUUGCCAUCUUCUAUAUACAGUCUGUGGCUAGAAUAAUAUUGGGAUUACAAUAAAACAAUAAAAACAUUCACAAGUUUGAAUCUAAAUGCGACUGGCCCUCUCAUCCAAAACGCAGUGUUGACUUUUUCCAGUCUGACUCUUAACCUGUCAACUCAUGCACACAUAGCUAUUUAUCACCUACAGGCAUAUAUAAAUAGGUGUCAUAAAAUAAAAUAAACAAUAGAAUAAAUCAACUCUCCAUCCAAGAAACUGGCAUUUAAUAGAUUUUCUUUUGCCAGAAAAGUUUGCGCGUGUGUGUGUGUCUGUUUGUCUGUCUGUUUGAGAGUGAGUCACAAGGCAGUCGGGGAUUUGUCACUCAGUCACAGCCACCACCCAGCCACUCACCUCACCAAGUCACCGACAGCAGCCUUGUUUAGUCAGCUGGAGUUGGAGGGAGACGCACACAGACAUAUAUACAAACAUAUUUCGGUUAUGUAAUGCUAAUUGAUUUUGGUUCCUUACAUCCAUACGUCUAUCAUUCAUUACAAGCGGCGCUUCCACUUGCAGUACGUACACACAGGCGCUCACAGAUGACCCGAUGUUUAUCUGUUUAACAGCCAAACCCACUUAGCUACUCAUUAAAGCGGAGAGUUGUAAUUUAAAUUCACCAGAGUUGGUUGCAUUACCAUUUCGUCAUCAAAUUAAAUUUAAUUCUGAACAGACUCGCUGACUGCACUGCCCAGACCCGUGUGUUUUAGCUGGCCUCGUCUCAAAUACAAAAAGAGACACAGACAGGGAGAGGAAGAGCAAAGCUGGGUUUCCUGCUUGGAUUCAUCGCAGACCAAAAAGAUGAGGUGACAGAGAGAGACACAUAUGAGGCCUGGCGCUGCCUGUGUUUAGUCUUCAUGUUUCUACCAACUGUACCAUAAAUGUGCAGUUGGACUUUAUAUAAGGACAUCUACCAAACGGCACCAAAAUAACUGCAAUAACAAGAAAUACAUACCUAUGAUGGGUAUUUCUAAGAAGUAAAAGGCAAAUCAAGAGUAAUCCAAGCCACUAUUUUUGAGACACUGUCUCAAGACAAAAUUGCUUCCUUAUAUUUAACUGAAAUAGUAUGAAGAUGACGCAAAGGUAGGAAGAGAUGAUCUUGAAAAACACAAGCUCCACGUUUGAAAAAACAUCUGGACUGUGCUCCGUCACCUCUUCAAUUUAAUUCAGUUUUAUUUUUAUAACGCCAAAUCACAACAACAGUCACCUCUAGGUGCAUGAAGCUGUAAGGUAAAGACCUACAAUAACAGAGAUAAAGCCUAACAAUCAGGUGGCCCUCUAUGAUCUAGCACCUGGUGACAGUGGGAAGGAAAAACUCCCUUUUAACAGGAAGAAACAGCAGCCUAGGCCUAUGGCAGCAUGAAUGAAGAAGCCAGCAGUGUGAGAGCAAAGUGCUCUAUUGGGGUGAUUUUCUUCUUCUUAUCAACACUAUGUAAAUGUUUGGGGAAUGAAAGGUAUACUGUUGUUUGCUCUCACUCUUUUGUCAUCAGACUUUCUGUAACAGCACGUCUGGAUGGCAACAUAUGUUGCUCCAGAUCAGUGCUAAUGGAGCCGGCACAAGACGCAUCUCCAAACCAUCUGCCUCCCCUCUCCUCUUCAGCUCAGAGGAAACGGUGUCUAUGAUCUUAGAUGAACCUGGACCCAUAAAAAGUCAAAGCUGGUUCACCACAGCGCCACCAGUGGGAUCUAGGACAGAGUUUUCUGUGGUUCCUCUGAAUCUUUUUUAAUGACUGAAUGUACCACAGUUUGAUGUUGGAAACUGUUCAACUAUUUAUCCACACAGUCUCUCACAGACUGGUGAAUCUCUCCUCAUCUUUCCUCCAUAAUUUAUCAGCCUCACUGGAAUGCUCGUUUUAAGCCCAAUCAUGUUUCUAAUCAGCCUAAUUAGUCCUGAAACGUGUUCCACCAGGUGGUUUUUUUUUUUAGAAUUGCACAACUUUUCCAGUCUGUGUGUGCCUUCUUUCCAACUUUUUUUAAAAACAUGUUACUGGCAUCAAAAUCAAAGUUAGCAUACAAGAUUCAAAGCCUUAGAAGUAUUUGUACUGCACAAAGGUAUAAAAUGGUUUUCAUCAAUCUUUUCACAGCUUUGCAACUUUUUUGGAAACAAGGCUGGAAAUUCGCCCUGAACACAGAACAUGAAUAUUUCAUCUGACUAGACGAGUUCAUUCUGUGAGAAGACGGAAACAAAAGGUACGACUGGCCAUGACAGUCAGCGGCAUAGUGAGGUCAAAGGGUCAUGUGUAACAGCCAGUCAGGAUGCGGUCAGGUGUUUCCCUUGUUUAGGCUUCCUUCCUUUUCAGUAGGAAGGGCAGCUCGCGGCAUGUCUGCUAAUGUGGAAAUAAGUUAUAAGUUUACAUGUCUGUGCAGUCAAUGGCACAUCUCCAUGUGCGUGUGUGUCUCUGUGCACCUCUGCGUAUGUGCAAGUGUUUUUCUUAGCAUUCAGGCAUGCACGUUUGGCUCCUUGUGAAUCUGUGUGUCCACGAUCGCACGCGUCCAUCCUGUCUCCCUGUCCUCAAGAGCAGAGAGCCCUCAAACUGAACUAGUUAGAACUGUACAUGGACAAUACCUUUUUAACUGAGAAUCGGUCACAGUACAGUGUACAGUGUUUAUAUACAGGAAACAGCCAAGGAUAAGGGAAGAGUACCACUGAAAGAACAAAUCUGAUUGGCUAUGAAACUUGGCUGACCUGAUACAAACCUGAGGUGAUGUUUAUAGAAAGAGAAAACGACACACCUCCGAGCUGAACUGCUACCCUGCAGUAUUGCAGGAUGGUAGAAAUCUCAGGGUUAAUGUACAGAAACAUACCAGUGCAUACUGGAAUAUAUUUGUGUACUACUUAAGGCAUUUCUGCAUUUCCCUCGGGAUGAAUAAAGUAUUAUCAAUCAAUCAAUCAAUCAAUCAAUCAAAUAGUAUAGCAUAUGCAAUACUUUAAACAGUGAAAUACGCAUUGUUUCUAAGUACACACACACCCUUGUUAUUACACAACCUCUCAUAGAGACCCCCCUACUUCCUCAUCCAGGUCGAGUUUAUGAUGCGUGACAUUCAGCUUUGGGUCAAAUCACAGCUCAGGGUGGAGGGUGAAUGUAGCCCGACUGCCCCUUCCACACAGCAUGAGAGGCCUUCGCUCAAUCAACCAGUCAAGUGAUGUCUAAAGUUUGAUAAUCUCAUUUUACUCACUGCUCUCUAAGGUGACUGUAUUUUAAAUAUGACCUUGAGGGGUAAAAAGAUUGAGGUUUAUACACUUUUUGUUUGCUAGAAUCUAAUGUGCCACUAAUUAGCUAGAUAAACAUCCUAUGCAGUCAGACAGGCAGGUCAAAGGUUCAGUAAAUCAUAAGUAAAUAAGUGUGGCUUUGCUGUGCAGUUCAGAGUAUCAUAUUUAGCAGCAUGCUUCUUUUUCCCUCUUUCUCACACAUCUCCGCACAACUCCUUUUCCCCCUUGGUCUUCAAAGCCAUCAAGCAUUUACAGUGUGUGGGGCUCUUUAAGAGGAAUAAAGCUGAUAUUUACUGCGGGCUUUCAUUGAGUGUAAAGGCCCAGAUUUGUGGUGCCCAUAAACCACAUCUCCCCUUCCUGCCUGUAAAAAUUUAAUGCCACACAGCUACCACUGAGCUCUGGCUCCCAUGAGGCUUCCAUUCAUUUCUUUUUCCUUUCCUUGACAGAGAGCAGAGAGGUUAUUAAACCCUGCGAGGGAGCUCCGCCAUGUCUAAUUACGCCAACGGUAAACAAAAGGAGGUCGGGUGGUGAAGGAGUGAGGAGAACGACGAGGAGGAGGGAGGAGAAGAGCAACAGAUGAAAAAACACAGCUGGCUGAGCGCCGUGUUAUUAUAAUUCUUUAAGCAAUACUGUUAGCUUGGUCAGUCUUUUAGCUGUGCAACUAAUGACUAGCUAGGCCUAAUUACAGGCCGCCGGUGCUGUGCCGGGACGUGAUAUUCCUUCCCCGGAUGGUUGUUAACUUCCCCCACAGCCAAGGCCCAGCCCGACUCCCAUUACCUCCUCAGCCCUUCCUCGCCCACAAAACCCCAAAUUACCUUUAAAGGUGUUGUAUUGUUCUUUUGGCAACAUACACAGCAGCGUUUUCCACUGUGCACACAUCAGACACACCCAGAGUGGGUGGAAAUAUCACGGCCGUUGUAAAAGAUAUUCCCGGUCUUCCCCGCACGCCUCAGAAUCUAAGGCGAAACUUAAAAAAAAAAGAUUUACCCCACUAAACAGGAAAAACAGGAAAAACGGGAAAAACAAAAACAUUGGGAUAAAAGUGGCUGGUUUGAAAGCUGUGUGUGUGUUCAUGUGUGUGUGUGUGUGUGUGCUUUCAGGAGCAAAAUGUGGAAAACAAAGAUGAUUUGUUACACUUAGAAUUACACCAUAAUCUCAAAACUAUUGCUGCAGAAAUUUUUUUGGCCGAUUCUGGCCUCUUUUGUCAUCUGGAAGAUAUUUAAUAUCAGAUGUCGAUUUAAACCCCGCUCGCUAAAAUGGUGCAAAUGAGAAAAUAACAAGGUCCAAAACCUCACAGGGAUUAGAGCUGGGAAAAUAAAGUUGUCCUGGUUUAAAGGUUGCUUUAUAGCCCUAGCAGACCGAGCAAGGCACGAGAGUCAUUUGUGGCGAAUCGAGGCGCAGCAAGGCCAAAUUCAUAAAGACCAAAUGAAAAUUGACAAAAACGUAUUAAAUAAAAAAUGGGUCUGAUGAUGUCAGGGAUUACUUUGGGAUUAAAAACAUGAGGCAGUGGAAUCAGGUUGACCUCACACAUCAGGGGCUACACUUUGGGAGGCUAUUUUUAGAAACCACACGGGCUGAAUUAGUUUAAAAAGCCUCUAUGUGGACGCUACUGCACACUUUCGAAACAAACACGUUGCUGCCGCUCGCUCUUAGAUCUCCCGCUUCUUUGGAAAAAUAUCCGUGAGGGUGAAUUCCCGGCCAAACAGAAACUGGGGGACAGCAUCCACAUUUUGUUUCUCCCCAUGAGCGCUCCACAAGACGGAUGCUCUCCCCAUCCAUCGUGGCCUCCUCCCCGUCUCUGAAGUGAGUGAUGCGGUAUUGAAACCAUAUGCCCUCCUGAAUUCCUCGCGGAUCCUCCCAUCCCGUCCAAUCCCUGCAGUCCUCUUGCUGGCCACCGACACACGGCUGUCGCGAGGGGGGCCUCCCUGCUUCCUGUGUAGGAUCUAAAUAUUUACACUCCCAGUCGUCCCGAGUGGCGAGGCGGAGAGGUCUUGAUGUUUUGGGUUAUGUAAAGUCCAAUCCUCCAGGACGCAUAUUUAACAGAUUGUCGUUGUUAGAGCACUUUUUUCAGCAGACUCGCUCCGUGGAAAGUUUUUCAUCCUCCCGAUGCAGAAGGGGACACAAAAAGCUUUAUACUGAAAGGGAGCAGGGUUUGAAAUCCACGCUGUGCACCCCAGAAUAACUUUGUCUUUACGACAUCCUGCCUUAAAGUCUUCGGACGUCUCGAGCCAAAGGUGACAGCUGGGCGGUGGAGAAUACAGGUCUGGAGCCAAAACUGAACAUGUGGUGAGAUCUAACUGUCCCGUAGCAUAACAAAUGAUGAGUCUUUGUUCUGUGUCGUGUCAGCCAAAGCUUUCAUCUAAUGCAAUUACUGAGAAAAAGCCCCGCAGGAAUUUAACAUACAACCUCUGGUGUUAACAGCAGUGCUGCGUAACCUACUGAGAAAGUCACUGCAGAUGCUCUGAACAAACAGAAGAUCGAGCCAACAAAUCUCAGCAGAGGGUUUUGCAGGGAGUAGCGAUGAGAGCAAACCUGUCCUGGAAAUGCUUCUGCAUACCGUACAGAUGUUAGAGCCAUUAAGCAAGGAGCAAAAGAAAGCAAAGCAAAGGUAAAUCGCUACCUAAGUAGCCCGUCAGGAUGGGAGGAUUUGCAGCUCUAUGUGAGUGCAGACAAGAGCUGUGAUCAGACAAGAGGACCAAAGAUAAGCCAGUUAUAGCCAAGAUUUGGGUUACUGUGGCACAUUCUCUAACCUCUUUGGUCUGAUUAGCUUUAGUUGGCAUCACUGUGUGCUUAGAUACUCGCAGCCCCUGGAAGCACGCUUAGGCUUACUAUGGCUCAUCAUUUAAAGUCCAACAACGAGUGCAGAAAGCAGAUGCACUGGAUUCACGUACAUCUAAAGGUUUGUGCGCCUAACUUGGCGAGGAUCAGACAUCAGUAUCAACAGCAAGCUGACUGAGGACUACCUUUACAUACUGCAGCAGUCACACAAUGAAGCCUCACAGGAGCAGCUUAGCUUUAAGCACUAUAAAGGUCUGUCUCCCGAAUUACACAGCAGGUGGAAGGCAGGCGGAUUAUGGGUCGAUUUAAUUUGAAAAGCUUGUGAGGCUCAUAACAUCAGGAUUAUACCUGCACAUUACAUCAUCUGUUGAGUAGGACGAGAAGCGAGCAGGGCUAAUGAGGAGGUCCGGAGGAUGAGGUCACCUGUCAAGAUGGAUUCACCGCCUGCGCCUUAAAUCACUGAAUAUUCAGUAGCUCACAAUUCUGUGAGAUCGUGCCACAUUGUAAAUCUCUAGCAAGACUUACUACACAGUUUACAGAUGCACCAGAGGUGUGUCAGUUUAAAAUCAUCAUCAUUCACAUAGCCUGUGUUCUUUAAUGUUUAAGGCCAAGGUCCUUCCUCAUGCACUCUCUCCCUGCCACCGUGCAUUUAAGUCACUCCUCAGAGCAGAAACGGUGUAUAACAAAUAUAACAAAUAACUAUAUUCCCUGCUCAAUAGGCAUGUUUUGGGAAAAACUGUAAUACCUUAACCAUACAAAGAAAACAAAAAAUGGGCUACAAUUCUCAUCUGAUCGGCGCUGAUUAAAGAGAUCCGGCAAAUGUCGGGUCUAAUCUAUCAAGCAUUUCAAA